rnacentral:rRNA from 1 species
UACGUAGGUGGCAAGCGUUGUCCGGAUUUACUGGGCGUAAAGAGCGCGCAGGCGGUCGGAUCAGUCGAAUGUGAAAGCCCCCGGCUCAACUGGGGAGGGUCAUUCGAUACUGUUCGACUCGAAGGCAGGAGAGGGAAGCGGAAUUCCCGGUGUAGUGGUGAAAUGCGUAGAUAUCGGGAGGAACACCAGUGGCGAAGGCGGCUUUCUGGCCUGUUCUUGACGCUGAGGCGCGAAAGCUAGGGGAGCGAACGGG